UUCUUUCUCUCCGCCACUCUUCCACUGUUUGGGUUCUGACAAUAGCACCGCCUCUCUCGUCCAACUUUCAAGUUACGUUGGUCUCUUCCAUAGUCCAGGUACUUACUUAUUGUGCUUUUAUUUUCUGUUGAUUGGUUGUUAUUUGGUUUUGCUGUGAAACUAUUUUGGGUUUGUGUGUUUUCCUGUAAGUGUUUCAUGUGUUAAAAUCCUUGUUGCUGUUGGGUUUGGCUUUCUGCGUGGAUGUUGGGUUAGGGGUGUGAGUCAACGACACAGGGUUCUGCUGGUUUGCUGCGAAUUGAAUUGCUGGGAUUUGGGUGUGAGUCAACGACACAGGGUUCUGCUGGUUUGCUGCGAAUUGAAUUGUUGGGAUUUGGGUGUGAGUAGCUGUUUGGUGGUGUUGACACCUGAGGUUUCACUAUAGAAUUAUAAUAGAUGUUAAAUCACUUGAAAGCAGCAAUUAACAACUUGAACAAUAAUAAUAAGAAUAUAAGACAAAUUGUAUACAUUUUUUUUAAAUGACCUGUAAUAGUUAUUAUUUUUAUCUGUUAAUGACCUGUAAUAGUUUAGUAAAAAUGCUUCUACUUGUUGAUCAUC
rnacentral:lncRNA from 1 species